UACGAAGGGGGCUAGCGUUGCUCGGAAUUACUGGGCGUAAAGGGCGCGUAGGCGGAUAGUUUAGUCAGAGGGGAAAGCCCAGGGCUCAACCUUGGAACUGCCUUUGAUACUGGCUAUCUUGAGUUCGGGAGAGGUGAGUGGAAUGCCGAGUGUAGAGGUGAAAUUCGUAGAUAUUCGGCGGAACACCAGUGGCGAAGGCGACUCACUGGCCCGAUACUGACGCUGAGGCGCGAAAGCGUGGGGAGCAAACAGG
rnacentral:rRNA from 1 species